UCCAACAUAAUCACCAGGGUUCUUAAACGAUGGAAGGAGUCGGAAGAGGCGGUGUCGACUGAGGAAGACCUGACGUCAGAGAUGGAAGGGAGCUACAAGCAAGGAACGUGGGCAACUUCUAGAGAACGGAAAGGCAAGAACGUGGAUUUUCCCCAGAGCCCGAAAGGAAUGCAGCCCUCCCGACACCAUGACUUUCUGACCUCUGAGUCUCAGAGCUGAAAGGUCAUCAAAAAGGAUGUUGGAUGGUCCAUGGCUGAACCCUUGUGGCCCACUACCAGACACUGCCUUUCCAGCAGACAUAGAUGGAUUCAUUCACCCUCUCACCUGCCAUGAAGACACUGAAUAUACUCACUUCACCCACAUAGGAGCAAACGGAGGCAAGUGGAGGGCCGAGAUAAAAAGUGAAGUAUGGAGGAGCUGUAACCUGGCCUUACCAUGGACUUCACCACUGAUUGUAAACAAGGUAACACUGUCUCUC